GCCGACGUGGUGUAGCUCGGCUAGCAUACGGUCCUGUCACGGCCGUGACCCGGGUUCGAAUCCCGGCGUCGGCG
rfam:Halorientalis sp. IM1011, complete genome.